GCAAGUCGAACGAUGAACCGGUUUCGGCCGGGGAUUAGUGGCGAACGGGUGAGUAACACGUGGGCAAUCUGCCCUGCACUCUGGGAUAAGCCCGGGAAACUGGGUCUAAUACCGGAUACGACACAUGAGCGCAUGCUCGUGUGUGGAAAGUUCCGGCGGUGCAGGAUGAGCCCGCGGCCUAUCAGUUUGUUGGUGGGGUAGUGGCCUACCAAGACGACGACGGGUAGCCGGCCUGAGAGGGUGACCGGCCACACUGGGACUGAGACACGGCCCAGACUCCUACGGGAGGCAGCAGUGGGGAAUAUUGCACAAUGGGCGAAAGCCUGAUGCAGCGACGCCGCGUGAGGGAUGACGGCCUUCGGGUUGUAAACCUCUUUCAGCAGGGAAGAAGCGAAAGUGACGGUACCUGCAGAAGAAGCACCGGCUAACUACGUGCCAGCAGCCGCGGUAAUACGUAGGGUGCAAGCGUUGUCCGGAAUUAUUGGGCGUAAAGAGCUCGUAGGCGGCCUGUCGCGUCGAUUGUGAAAGCCCAGGGCUUAACCCUGGGUCUGCAGUCGAUACGGGCAGGCUAGAGUUC
rnacentral:rRNA from 1 species